GGUCCAAAUUACUACCAUUGGCAGAAUUUGCUUACAACAAUAAUGCUCACUCUUCAACAACACAAUAGUCCAUGUCAUAGGCACUAUGGUUAUAAUGUUUACAUCUAUAGAUAUUUCUUCUUCUUUUCCCAGACUUAAGAAUUUCCUUUAUGAAUUACAAUUAAAUCUCACUUUUAUUCAAAAUAAUAUUUAAAAAGCAAAAGCACAUGUAAACAUUUUUGGCAAGAAACAUCAUAAGGGAACAUGGUAUUACUGACAACUGAAAAAUUAAUUUUGCAUGUAGCAACCAAAAAAUGUGCUAACAAAUAUAUUGAUGGGGGCGGGGCCGGACCGCCGAGCUAGCUGGUCGCAAACAAGUGCAGCUCCUGCAAAACAACGACAAUUAAGCUGAAAAACCAUGCCUAAUCACCUUUAAAACGACCACCAGCGACAGUACCCAGAGCACAGGGAC